rnacentral:rRNA from 1 species
GGAGGAUGCGAGCGUUAUCCGGAUUUAUUGGGUUUAAAGGGAGCGUAGGCGGGUUGUUAAGUCAGUUGUGAAAGUUUGCGGCUCAACCGUAAAAUUGCAGUUGAUACUGGCGACCUUGAGUGCAACAGAGGUAGGCGGAAUUCGUGGUGUAGCGGUGAAAUGCUUAGAUAUCACGAAGAACUCCGAUUGCGAAGGCAGCUUACUGGAUUGUAACUGACGCUGAUGCUCGAAAGUGUGGGUAUCAAACAGGAUUAGAUACCCUGGUAGUCCACACAGUAAACGAUGAAUACUCGCUGUUGGCGAUAUACAGUCAGCGGCCAAGCGAAAGCAUUAAGUAUUCCACCUGGGGAGU